rnacentral:rRNA from 1 species
UACGUAGGGGGCAAGCGUUAUCCGGAAUUACUGGGUGUAAAGGGAGCGUAGACGGUAAUGUAAGUCUGGAGUGAAAGGCGGGGGCCCAACCCCCGGACUGCUCUGGAAACUAUGUUACUAGAGUGCAGGAGAGGUAAGCGGAAUUCCUAGUGUAGCGGUGAAAUGCGUAGAUAUUAGGAGGAACACCAGUGGCGAAGGCGGCUUACUGGACUGUAACUGUCGUUGAGGCUCGAAAGCGUGGGGAGCAAACAGG